rnacentral:rRNA from 1 species
UACGGAAGGCAGCAAUGGGGAAUAUUGCACAAUGGGCGCAAGCCUGAUGCAGCCAUGCCGCGUGUAUGAAGAAGGCCUUCGGGUUGUAAAGUACUUUCAGUCGUGAGGAAGGUGUUAAGGUUAAUAACCUUAGCAAUUGACGUUAGCGACAGAAGAAGCACCGGCUAACUCCGUGCCAGCAGCCGCGGUAAUACGGAGGGUGCGAGCGUUAAUCGGAAUUACUGGGCGUAAAGGGCACGCAGGCGGUUAAUUAAGUUGGAUGUGAAAUCCCCGGGCUUAACCUGGGAAUGGCAUUCAAGACUGGUUAGCUAGAGUCUUGUAGAGGGGGUAGAAUUCCAUGUGUAGCGGUGAAAUGCGUAGAGAUGUGGAGGAAUACCGGUGGCGAAGGCGGCCCCUGGGACAAAGACUGACGCUCAUGUGCGAAAGCGUGGGGAGCAAACGAGGAUUAGAUACC